UACGGAGGGUGCAAGCGUUGUUCGGAAUCACUGGGCGUAAAGCGCGUGUAGGCGGCUUCUUAAGUCUGGUGUGAAAGCCCGGGGCUUACCCCCGGAAGGGCACUGGAGACUGGGAGGCUAGAGUACCGGAGAGGAAGGUGGAAUUCCUGGUGUAGCGGUGAAAUGCGUAGAUAUCAGGAGGAACACCGGUGGCGAAGGCGGCCUUCUGGACGGCUACUGACGCUGAGACGCGAAAGCGUGGGGAGCAAACAGG
rnacentral:rRNA from 1 species